GUUGUUUAUGUCACUGUUCCUAACAGAGAAGCAGGGAAGAAGUUGGCUAACAGUAUAGUCCAAGAAAAGCUUGCAGCCUGUGCCUGGCGUUGAAUCGGUAUACGAGUGGGAGGGAAAGGUUCAGAGUGAUUCCGAGGAGCUCCUGAUAAUC